rnacentral:rRNA from 1 species
CCUGGCUCAGGAGGAACGCUGGCGGCGUGCCUAACACAUGCAAGUUGAGCGAUUUACUUCGGUAAAGAGCGGCGGACGGGUGAGUAACGCGUGGGUAACCUACCCUGUACACACGGAUAACAUACCGAAAGGUAUGCUAAUACGGGAUAAUAUAUUUGAGAGGCAUCUCUUGAAUAUCAAAGGUGAGCCAGUACAGGAUGGACCCGCGUCUGAUUAGCUAGUUGGUAAGGUAACGGCUUACCAAGGCGACGAUCAGUAGCCGACCUGAGAGGGUGAUCGGCCACAUUGGAACUGAGACACGGUCCAAACUCCUACGGGAGGCAGCAGUGGGGAAUAUUGCACAAUGGGCGAAAGCCUGAUGCAGCAACGCCGCGUG